GUUGACAAGAUAGAGCUGAUGCUGAACCCUGGCUGUACCUAGUGGAACUCACGUUUGGUGCAACAUAGGCCCACGCUAUUUUGAUCAUCCGUCACAUAGAGGGAGAGCAAUACCCAAGAUAGAAUUCAUAAUCCAUUUUCUUCCAGAUGAGGUACCAUCCUAAAUAUAGUAGUUCCAUUUACUAAUCUUAUUAACUUUUUCUUUUCCAGGAACCAUUAACCAGGGUUCAAGUUGCAGAGCUAUCCGAAAUAGCUGCGCCUAACAUUGUAUUUUUAGAUAAUGAAAAUAUAAUUAUAUUACUUGCUGGUAGAAAAAACGAUUGUUAGCGAAACUGAGAUUCUGCCUACGUCGUUACAACUAUUGAUGGCGGCUUACUGCAACUUGAAUAUGGAAUAUCCACUAUAUCCAGUGGACUGUCAAAACACAUUAGAAUUUAUACAAAGGUACCUAUAUUUUUAAAAUAAAUCCUAAAGAAGGAAGUCAUAAGUAAUAGUUUUUGAUUUUUAAAAAGCGUUUUUCAAUUAAAAGACAUGUCAAGAUCGCUUAACUUCUUGCAAGUUCUUUCUAAUGCUAAAAAAACUAACUAUAAUUAAUGUCAGUAACAAACAUUUUCAGACAAUUCGUUACUUGAAAUGGUAUAGGUUUCACGCAUUAGAUUCACAUAGGCCUUAUUAACCGAAACUUUUAUAAGACUAAUUCAUAAGAAGUACUUAUGUACAUAAGAUAUAAUUUAUAGUGUCGUAUGUCUUCUACUUUUUGUACUCUGUCACAGAAUAAAUAAUAAUAAUAUGCACGUAGACGUGUAUAUACGCGUGUGCUCUAUAAUUUUAGUGUGUGAAAAUCAAUAAAUUUAUUUCUUUGUAA